rnacentral:rRNA from 1 species
CACGUAGGGCGCGAGCGUUGUCCGGAAUUACUGGGCGUAAAGCGCGCGUAGGCGGACUGACAAGUCGGGGGUGAAAUCCCGAGGCUCAACCUCGGAACUGCCUUCGAUACUGUCAGUCUUGAGGUCGGGAGAGGUGGAGUGGAACUCCGAGUGUAGAGGUGAAAUUCGUAGAUAUUCGGAAGAACACCAGUGGCGAAGGCGGCUCACUGGCCCGAUUCUGACGCUGAGGCGCGAAAGCGUGGGGAGCAAAAGGG